CCUGCUCUGUCUAAUUCACAGACGGACGUUCUCUCCCUUUCCCUCUCCCUCUCCCUCUCCCUCUUUAUUCUCUCCCUUCUUUCGUCUUCUCUGCUAUUCUCUCUUCAUUUUUCCUCUGUUUUCCUUUUCUCUCUCUAACGUACAUAUUCUUCUCCUCUCUCUCUCACUCUCACUCUCAUCGAGUUCCUAUUUCUCUCCCGCCGUAACCUCCUCUCGAUUUUCUCUGGGACUCUAUCUUCCAGAAAUCCUGUAUCAGAGCGACAGUCCAGAUUGGGGCUUUCGGAAAGUGCAGAUGGUAUAAAGCAUUGGGCAUAUGGAGUUGACUUUGUGGGGAUAUUCCUAAUGAUUUGAAUUUCUGUUUGAAUGGGAUUAUGUGGCCAGAUCGAACUCCUCAUCCUGCAAUACAUGAAGUUAAGUAUCUCUAUCAACCGAUCAAGGUUUCAUUAGAGAAGGGAACACUUAAGAUAACAAACACCCAAUUUUUUGAAACAACAGAAGGAUUGGAAUUCAGCUGGCCUGCUAAUGGGGAUGGAUGUGAACUUGGAACUGGAGUUUUAUCUCUUUCACUGAUAGAGCCACAGAGCAGUUUUGGUAUUGGAUGGAAGUCGGGUCCAUGAUCAAAAUUGUGCAUCUUGUGAGAUUGAGAUUAUAAAGAAUGCAUUGCAGAUCAAAACCCGGCCCGUUGACAAGAAUGUAUUGCAUUCUUUCAAUAAAUUUGGUUCUUUCUCUGAUAGAUUUGUUUGUCAUCUCUUGAUGAAAAUUACAAUCAUUAUGUUAGGUUUUUCAUGUGAGAUCUUGAUUAGUGUUUCUGUCAGUUAGGGACCCAAAAUAAUGAUGUGUCCUAUAAUGUUCAUGUUUGAGUAAUAAACAGCAGACAGGAAAACUAAAGAAAAUUAUUCUUAUUAUGUUGGUGUCCAUUUACUUUUUGUGAAGCAUGUGAUUAAGGACGUAUG